rnacentral:rRNA from 1 species
GACGAACGCUGGCGGCGUGCUUAACACAUGCAAGUCGAACGGAAAGGCCCUGCUUUUGUGGGGUGCUCGAGUGGCGAACGGGUGAGUAACACGUGAGUAACCUGCCCUUGACUUUGGGAUAACUUCAGGAAACUGGGGCUAAUACCGGAUAGGAGCUCCUGCUGCAUGGUGGGGGUUGGAAAGUUUCGGCGGUUGGGGAUGGACUCGCGGCUUAUCAGCUUGUUGGUGGGGUAGUGGCUUACCAAGGCUUUGACGGGUAGCCGGCCUGAGAGGGUGACCGGCCACAUUGGGACUGAGAUACGGCCCAGACUCCUACGGGAGGCAGCAGUGGGGAAUAUUGCACAAUGGGAGGAAGCCUGAUGCAGCAACGCCGCGUGCGGGAUGACGGCCUUCGGGCUGUAAACCGCUUUCGCCUGUGACGAAGCGUGAGUGACGGUAAUGGGUAAAGAAGCACCGGCUAACUACGUG